CCUACGGGUGGCACCAGUGGGGAAUAUUGCACAAUGGGCGCAAGCCUGAUGCAGCCAUGCCGCGUGUAUGAAGAAGGCCCUAGGGUUGUAAAGUACUUUCAGUCGGGAGGAAGGCGUUGAUGCUANUAUCAUCAACAAUUGACGUUACCGACAGAAGAAGCACCGGCUAACUCCGUGCCAGCAGCCGCGGUAAUACGGAGGGUGCAAGCGUUAAUCGGAAUUACUGGGCGUAAAGCGCACGCAGGCGGUUGAUUAAGUUAGAUGUGAAAUCCCCGGGCUUAACCUGGGAAUGGCAUCUAAGACUGGUCAGCUAGAGUCUUGUAGAGGGGGGUAGAAUUCCAUGUGUAGCGGUGAAAUGCGUAGAGAUGUGGAGGAAUACCGGUGGCGAAGGCGGCCCCCUGGACAAAGACUGACGCUCAGGUGCGAAAGCGUGGGGAGCAAACAGGAUUAGAUACCCUCGUAGUC
rnacentral:rRNA from 1 species